rnacentral:rRNA from 1 species
GUUGAGUUCAAAGCUCGUAGUUCGGUCGUCGGGCUCGGGAAGCUGUCGGACUUUGGUCGGACGGCAGUAACGGGGCUUUCUGCCUGAGGAACCCGGUGGCUUUCACGAGCCGCCGUUGGUUGCAGGUGGUUUACUUUAAAAAAAUUAGAGAGUGCAAAGCAAACAAGCGCUUGAAUACAUUAGCAUGGAAGCUGGAAUACCUCUUUGGGGCUAUUUUGUUGGUUUAUCCGACCCAAGUGUGAUUAAUUUAACGCCGGGGACCGUUUAUAUUUCGUUGUCAGAGGUGAAAUUCUCGCCGUUACGAGAGAUAAACUUCUGCGAAAGCAUUCGGCAAGGAUGUUUUCAUUGAUCAAGAACGAAAGUUAGGGGGAUCGAAGACGAUCAGAUACCGUCGUAGUCUUAACCAUAAACUAUGCCGACUAGGGAUCAGUGGAUGUCAAUUUGCGACUCCAUUGGCACCUUGUGAGAAAUCAAAGUUUUUGUGUUCCGGGGGGAGUAUGGUCGCAAGGCUGAAACUUAAAGGAAAUUGACGGAAGGGCACCACCAGGAGUGGGAGCCUGCGGUCUUAAUUUGACUCACACGGGGAAACUUACCACGGUCCAGACAUAGGAAAG